ensembl:snRNA U6atac minor spliceosomal RNA
AAAUAAAAAGAAAAGAGCGAAGGUUUCCUCUCCCCUUGAUAAGGAUGGAAGAGGUCCUUGUGGCCUGUACAACACGCAUAUGGUUAAGGCGUUACCACUUACUUUGUGGCAUCUAGCCAAGUUUAUUU